AGAAUUACCAAAUAAAUACAUAUGUACUUCUAUUUCUCAAAUUGGUUUCCGAAAAUGAACCGGGAAAGGACUUUCUGGUUGUUCACAAAGUAAAAUCCAAUCGCCCGCCAAUUGCCUGGAAAAGUUGAAAAUAUUGCUAAAUCUGACAGCACCUUUACGUAUAGGUAUCGAAAGCGGAAUGACAAGAGGAAAUAGAAAAGUGAAGAAGUUGCCGGAGUAGAAGCAGAAAAAGCAACGAAUUGUGUAUAGUUGUUUAACAGAUUUAACUAAUUUAUCCCAAAAGGUACUAUAUUAUUAAAUGCUUCACAACUGAAAUAAUAAGUAUUGGCGAACCCCUGAAGUCAAAAGUCAACAUCAAAGAAUAAGUGGAAAUGUCGAAUAAUAACCCGCAUGGACACAUCACCCAACCGACGCAAAAUCCUUCAUG